rnacentral:rRNA from 1 species
UACAGAGGUCCCAAGCGUUGUUCGGAUUUACUGGGCGUAAAGGGUGCGUAGGCGGUCGGGUAAGUCUGGUGUGAAAUCUUCGAGCUUAACUCGGAAACUGCAUUGGAUACUAUUCGGCUAGAGAGGUGGAGGGGGGAUUGGAAUACUUGGUGUAGCAGUGAAAUGCGUAGAUAUCAAGUGGAACACCAGUGGCGAAGGCGAAUCCCUGGACAACUUCUGACGCUGAGGCACGAAAGCUAGGGGAGCAAACAGG